UACGUAGGCAGCAAGCGUUGUUCGGAAUUACUGGGCGUAAAGAGUGUGUAGGCGGUGCUCCAAGUCUGGUGUGAAAGCCCCGGGCUCAACCUGGGAAUGGCAGUGGAUACUGGCAAGCUAGAGUGCGGUAGAGGGGUGUGGAAUUCCCGGUGUAGCGGUGAAAUGCGUAGAGAUCGGGAGGAACACCAGUGGCGAAGGCGGCACCCUGGACCAGCACUGACACUGAGGCACGAAAGCGUGGGGAGCAAACAGG
rnacentral:rRNA from 1 species